GACGAACGCUGGCGGCGUGCUUAACACAUGCAAGUCGAACGGAAAGGCCCUGCUCUUGUGGGGUGCUCGAGUGGCGAACGGGUGAGUCACACGUGAGUAACCUGCCCUUGACUUUGGGAUAACUUCAGGAAACUGGGGCUAAUACCGGAUAGGAGCUCCUGCUGCAUGGUGGGGGUUGGAAAGUUUCGGCGGUUGGGGAUGGACUCGCGGCUUAUCAGCUUGUUGGUGGGGUAGUGGCUUACCAAGGCUUUGACGGGUAGCCGGCCUGAGAGGGUGACCGGCCACAUUGGGACUGAGAUACGGCCCAGACUCCUACGGGAGGCAGCAGUGGGGAAUAUUGCACAAUGGGCGGAAGCCUGAUGCAGCAACGCCGCGUGCGGGAUGACGGCCUUCGGGUUGUAAACCGCUUUCGCCUAUGACGAAGCUUUGGUGACGGUAAGUGGGAAAAGAGCACCGGCUAACUACGUG
rnacentral:rRNA from 1 species